rnacentral:rRNA from 1 species
GACGAACGCUGGCGGCGUGCUUAACACAUGCAAGUCGAACGGAAAGGCCCUGCUUUUGUGGGGUGCUCGAGUGGCGAACGGGUGAGUAACACGUGAGUAACCUGCCCUUGACUUUGGGAUAACUUCAGGAAACUGGGGCUAAUACCGGAUAGGAGCUCCUGCUGCAUGGUGGGGGUUGGAAAGUUUCGGCGGCUGGGGAUGGACUCGCGGCUUAUCAGCUUGUUGGUGGGGUAGUGGCUUACCAAGGCUUUGACGGGUAGCCGGCCUGAGAGGGUGACCGGCCACAUUGGGACUGAGAUACGGCCCAGACUCCUACGGGAGGCAGCAGUGGGGAAUAUUGCACAAUGGGCGGAAGCCUGAUGCAGCAACGCCGCGUGCGGGAUGACGGCCUUCGGGUUGUAAACCGCUUUCGCCUGUGACGAAGCGUGAGUGACGGUAAUGGGUAAAGAAGCACCGGCUAACUACGUGCCAGCAGCCGCGGUGAUACGUAGGGUGCGAGCGUUGUCCGGAUUUAUUGGGCGUAAAGGGCUCGUAGGUGGUUGAUCGCGUCGGAAGUGUAAUCUUGGGGCUUAACCCUGAGCGUGCUUUCGAUACGGGUUGACUUGAGGAAGGUAGGGGAGAAUGGAAUUCCUGGUGGAGCGGUGGAAUGCGCAGAUAUCAGGAGGAACACCAGUGGCGAAGGCGGUUCUCUGGGCCUUUCCUGACGCUGAGGAGCGAAAGCGUGGGGAGCGAACAGGCUUAGAUACCCUGGUAGUCCACGCUGUAAACGGUGGGUACUAGGUGUGGGGUCCAUUCCACGGGUUCCGUGCCGUAGCUAACGCUUUAAGUACCCCGCCUGGGGAGUACGGCCGCAAGGCUAAAACUCAAAGGAAUUGACGGGGCCCCGCACAAGCGGCGGAGCAUGCGGAUUAAUUCGAUGCAACGCGUAGAACCUUACCUGGGUUUGACAUGGAUCGGGAGCGCUCAGAGAUGGGUGUGCCUCUUUUGGGGUCGGUUCACAGGUGGUGCAUGGCUGUCGUCAGCUCGUGUCGUGAGAUGUUGGGUUAAGUCCCGCAACGAGCGCAACCCUUGUUCACUGUUGCCAGCACGUUAUGGUGGGGACUCAGUGGAGACCGCCGGGGUCAACUCGGAGGAAGGUGGGGAUGACGUCAAGUCAUCAUGCCCCUUAUGUCCAGGGCUUCACGCAUGCUACAAUGGCUGGUACAGAGAGUGGCGAGCCUGUGAGGGUGAGCGAAUCUCGGAAAGCCGGUCUCAGUUCGGAUUGGGGUCUGCAACUCGACCUCAUGAAGUCGGAGUCGCUAGUAAUCGCAGAUCAGCAACGCUGCGGUGAAUACGUUCUCGGGGCU